AGUUUGGUAGUUGACAUCAUGAGAGAUACAGUAGGCCAAAUAAGCAGCUGAGCAAAUUCUACAAGUGACAAUUUUUAAAAAAGCAAAACAGGACCCUAGAAGGCAACUGAAAACAAAGCUUGGACCAGAAAAAAAUGACAGUCACAAAUAUAUGGGAACACCAUCAUCAACAGCUUCUCCCUGGGAUCAGAAUGAGUAAUCAGGACAAGGCUACCCAUCGGAGAGUUCUGAGAAAAGAAGCUUUGUGAAAUUUAAUCGUCUCUUCUCAUCGAGACCAAAACUGUUAUCUUUACAGCACAGAAAAGAGAACUUCCAUGCUGGUUUGGAGAAGUCACACUGUACUGUACUUGUAUGCCCUGUGCUCUGCAAGUUAAUAACAAAGAACUAGUGUUUCAUAUGGUUGCUUAAUUCCAUAGCAGCAUUGCACUGUUCUCUCUCCCACAUACACAUACAAGGUGUGUGGUGUACACAAAUGAGCAAUUUUUCACCAAUAUCUCUUUCUUUGGGGAUGAAACAUUAUCUUCUUUUUCUUUUUAGAAAUGUGAAGCCAUUAUUACAUGGCAGAACAGUCUUGCCUAUACUGCUGGAGCUGUUUUUCCACAUGGAUCCAUAACUCCCAGAUUGUUUUAUUUCCAUAGUUGUUUCAUUAGUUGGCUUCUAUUUACACCUGAUGACCUGUUCUCACAGUAAUAGCUCUAGGUUCAUUGGGUCCGUAGGCAAGAUUUCCUCUAAUCAGUUUCUUCCUCUUCUAGUGAACACCAUCAUUAAUAUGAAGCAAUACUAUGUCAGAGAUAUUAUGGGAAAUUACUAUUAAAACCAGCCAGUUUGGCAAGUCAGUCAAUAAAAAGGCCCCAGGACAGCUUUUAGUAGGUUGAAAAUUUGCUGAGGUUCUCACAUGCCGAUACUUCCCUUCUGUCUAAGGUUCAUGCAUAGAUGAUCUUUUGCCACCUGCAUUAGAGAUUUUCUGAAGGAAUUACUUUUAUAUUACUGCCUUCCCAUGCACCAAUAAGUCAGCUCCCUGACUGAAAAUGUCACUGACUAUGGGAAAUGAAAUGGGCCCUUCUUCCUCUCUCGCUCUCUCCACCUAAACACUCUUUUUUAUUUGAUUCCUUCAUUACUUCAGCAACAGAGUGGUCAAUGCCUGGAAUGCUCUACCUGACUCCGUUGUUACAUCCUUGAAACCCCCACAGCUUCAACCUUAAACUGUCUACCGUGAUCCUCACCCAAUUCCUAAGAGGUCCGUAAAGGGGGCGUGCAUAAGAGCACCAGCGUGCCUACCGUCCCUGUCCUACUGUCUCCAUUUAUUUGUACUCAUUUCUUGUGUUCAUGUCCAUGUUUAUACUUAUACCUGUUAUCUUGUACAUGUUUGACAAACUAAAUAAAUAAAAUAAAUAGUUAUUU